rnacentral:rRNA from 1 species
CUCGUAGGCGGUUCGUCACGUCCGGUGUGAAAGUCCAUCGCCUAACGGUGGAUCUGCGCCGGGUACGGGCGGGCUGGAGUGCGGUAGGGGAGACUGGAAUUCCCGGUGUAACGGUGGAAUGUGUAGAUAUCGGGAAGAACACCAAUGGCGAAGGCAGGUCUCUGGGCCGUUACUGACGCUGAGGAGCGAAAGCGUGGGGAGCGAACA